UACAUGUGGGGCAAGCGUUGUUCGGAAUUACUGGGCGUAAAGGGUUCGUAGGUGGCCUACUAAGUCAGACGUGAAAUCCCUCAGCUCAACUGGGGAACUGCGUCUGAGACUGGAAGGCUUGAGUGCAGGAGAGGAACGCGGAAUUCCAGGUGUAGCGGUGAAAUGCGUAGAUAUCGAGAGGAACACCAGUGGCGAAGGCGAGUCUCUGGACGACUCCUGACACUGAGGCACGAAAGCUAGGGGAGCAAACAGG
rnacentral:rRNA from 1 species